rnacentral:lncRNA from 1 species
UGUAUUCUUUUCUUUAUCUCUUUUUCUUUCUUUUAAUAAUUAUUUUUAUUUUAAAAAUUAAUACUAAUGAUAUAAAAAAGAUAAGUACAUAAUUAACAUAAAAUAAAAAAUUCGAUACAAUUAACAAAAAUUAAUUAAACAAAUGACAUAAAAAUUAAAAUUAUUUAUACAAUCAAAAUCACAUUAUUUUUUUAUAAUUUAUUCUUUUCCUUUCUUUUAAUGUUCUACUGCUCAUCUUCUCCACAAAUCAGAUCUUCUCCACAAAUCUUUUCCUUUAUUCUACUGUUCAUCUCCUCCACAAAUCCCAACAAAAAGCUCGUUUAUUCUACUGUAAACCACCGACAAUGACACCGGAAAUAAAAAACACGAAAUAGGAGGAGAUCUGGGCGGUGGAGGAGGUGGGGGCGGCGACGGUGGAAAUCUAGGCGGUGGAGGAGGAGGCGACGGUGGAAAUCUGGGCGGCGGAGGCGGCGGACAUGGAUCCGGAGGAUCUGGCGACGACAAAUAGGAGGAGAUACCGGCGACGGUGGAAGGCUUGGAGGGAGGAUGAGGAGGAGGGCUUGGGAGGAAGAGGGGGAAGGAGUUUGUGAGGCGUGGUCAUCUGAUGUUGGGAAGGCGAGUGGUGGAGGAGAUACGACACUGAUAGUGGGAAGGUCCCUGGGAUUAUUUGUAUUAUUUAGAAGGAGUUUUAAAAAUAAAAAUAAUUAUUAAAAAAAAGGAAAAAAUAAAAUGAAAGAUUUU